CCUACGGGUGGCAGCAGUCGAGAAUUAUUCACAAUGGGGGAAACCCUGAUGGUGCGACGCCGCGUGGGGGAAUGAAGGUCUUCGGAUUGUAAACCCCUGUCAUGUGGGAGCAAAUUAAAAAGAUAGUACCACAAGAGGAAGAGACGGCUAACUCUGUGCCAGCAGCCGCGGUAAUACAGAGGUCUCAAGCGUUGUUCGGAAUCACUGGGCGUAAAGCGUGCGUAGGCUGUUUCGUAAGUCGGGUGUGAAAGGCGCGGGCUCAACCCGCGGACGGCACAUGAUACUGCGAGACUAGAGUGAUGGAGGGGGAACCGGAAUUCUCGGUGUAGCAGUGAAAUGCGUAGAUAUCGAGAGGAACACUCGUGGCGAAGGCGGGUUCCUGGACAUUAACUGACGCUGAGGCACGAAGGCCAGGGGAGCGAAAGGGAUUAGAUACCCGGGUAGUC
rnacentral:rRNA from 1 species